rnacentral:rRNA from 1 species
CCUACGGAGGCAGCAGUGGGGAAUAUUGGACAAUGGGCGAAAGCCUGAUCCAGCCAUGCCGCGUGAGUGAUGAAGGCCCUAGGGUCGUAAAGCUCUUUCGCCAGGGACGAUAAUGACGGUACCUGGAUAAGAAGCCCCGGCUAACUUCGUGCCAGCAGCCGCGGUAAU